AUGGACCGUGCAGCAAUCACCACGAUGCCACGGAAGCUGGUGGUGCUGUACCCGUCGCCGGGCAUGGGCCACCUGGUCUCGAUGAUCGAACUGGGUAAGAUCAUCGCCGCCCGCGGCCUCGCCGUCACCAUCGUCGUCAUCGAUCUACCGCACAACACCGGGGCAAGCGCAACAGGGCCCUUCCUCGCCGGGGUCUCCGCGGCCAACCCCACCAUCUCCUUCCACCGUCUCCCGCAAGUCGAUCUCCCGCCCGUAAAAUCCAGCCACCUAGAGACAUUGACCUUCGAGGUCGCCCGCGUCUCAAACCCUCACCUGCGUGAUUUCCUUGCUGCCACCUCCCCUGCCGUUCUCGUCGCAGACUUCUUCUGUAAUGUCGCACGCGGCUUUGCCUCGGAGCUCGGCAUUCCCAUCUACUUCUUCUUCACCUCCGGCGCUGAGGUCCUGGCUCUCUACUUGCAUCUCCCGGUCCUGCACGCUCAGAUUACCGCCAACUUCCAGGACAUGGGUGAUGAGCUCGUGCACGUUCCCGGAAUCCCCUCGUUUCCGGCGACAGACUCCAUGCGGCCAAUCAUGGACCGUGAUGACAUAGCAUACACGAAGUUCGUGAGUGUGUGCAGCGACCUGUGCCUGUCCCAGGGCAUCCUCGUCAACACCUUCCGCUCGCUCGAGCCGCGGGCCGUGGAGACCAUCCUCGCCGGGCUCUGCUCGCCUUCCGGACUUCCGACCCCGCCAGUCUACUGCAUUGGGCCGCUGAUAAAGAUGCAGGAGGUGGGCACCAAGUGCGGCGACGAGUGCAUCGCGUGGCUGGAUGCCCAACCCAAGGACAGCGUGGUGUUCCUCUGCUUCGGCAGCCUCGGUCGGUUUAGCGCCAAGCAGAUCAAGGAGGUGGCGGCCGGGCUAGAGGCAAGCCGGCAGCGUUUCCUUUGGGUCAUAAAGAGCCCGCCCAGCGAUGACCCGACGAAGAAGUUCGACGGGCCAUCGGAGCCGGACCUCGACGCCCUACUCCCGGAGGGCUUCCUGGACCGUACCAAGGAGACAGGCCUGGUCGUGAAGUCAUGGGCACCUCAGCGCGAUGUGCUUAUGCACACAGCGGUGGCCUUGUUCGUGACGCACUGUGGAUGGAACUCCGUGCUGGAGUCGGUCAUGGCGGGUGUGCCGAUGCUAGCGUGGCCAUUGUACGCAGAGCAGCGGGUGAACAAGGUGUUCCUGGAGAAGGAGCUUGGGCUAGCUUUGGCGAUCGAAGGGUACGACAAGGAGGUGGUGGAGGCCGAGGAGAUGGCAGCAAAGGUGAAGUGGAUGAUGGACUCUGACGGCGGGAGGGUGAUCCGUGAGCGGACGCAGGCGGCCAUGCGUCAGGCGAAUGAGGCGAUGCGUGAGGGCGGGGAGUCUGAGGCGACGCUGGCGUCGCUGGUUGACGCGUGGGUACUUGCUUGA
rnacentral:rRNA from 1 species